CACGGCGUUUGCCAGCUGGCAAAAUCCCAAUGCCACCUUAAACCUGCCACGUGUCACUCACCCUCUUCCCCCGAAGUCACGCCGUAGACUCGUCGGUCAGUCUUCCCCACUUCUCGCUAAACUCCGAAAUGCAAAACUCCAAUUUCAAUUCUCACAAUUACUCUCUGAAUCUCUGCGAAUUUAUUUCCGAAUCCCAGAAAAUUAAAUUACCCAAAAAUCCAAAAGACUAAAUCGGAAAAUGAAGGCGGAGGCUUUGACUCUGGUGCUGGUCAACUUGGCCGGGAUCAUGGAGCGAGCCGACGAGUCGUUGCUCCCCGGCGUGUACAAGGAGGUCGGCGCCGCUCUCCACACCGACCCGACCGGGCUGGGGUCUCUCACUCUCUUCCGGUCCAUUGUGCAGUCCGCUUGCUACCCAAUUGCGGCGUACCUGGCCGUGCGCCACAACCGGGCCCACGUCAUCGCCCUCGGCGCCUUUCUCUGGGCCACCGCUACUUUUCUCGUCGCUUUUUCCUCCACUUUCACCGAGGUGGCUAUAUCCAGAGCUUUGAAUGGGAUUGGCCUUGCUCUAGUUACUCCGUCUAUCCAGUCCCUUGUAGCUGACUCAACUGAUGACAACAACCGAGGUAUGGCUUUCAGAUGGCUUCAACUAACGGGCAAUGUUGGUUCGAUAAUUGGUGGCCUUUGUUCUAUAUUGAUAGCUCCAAUAACAGUCGUGGGAAUCCCUGGGUGGAGAAUUUCCUUUCACCUUGUUGGUUAUUAGUGUUGUAGUCGGUGUUUUAGUCCGUCUGUACGCCACUGACCCACAUUUUCCAGAUUGUGAAACAAAAGAUAGCAGCCAGAAUUCUAGUAGUUCCUUGUGGUCACACGUGAAGGAACUAGCCCUAGAAGCUAUGUCGGUUAUUAAAAUUCCUUCCUUUCAGAUCGUUGUGGCGCAGGGUGUUACUGGUUCAUUUCCUUGGUCAGCAUUGUCAUUUGCGCCCAUGUGGUUGGAACUUACUGGCUUCUCUCAUGGGAAAUCCGCUUUCCUCAUCGCCUUGUUUGUGAUUGGAAGUUGCCUUGGUGGCUUCUUUGGAGGUAAAAUGGGAGAUAUCCUUUCCAUGCGUCUUCCAAAUGCAGGAAGGAUUAUAUUAGCACAGAUAAGCUCCACAUCUGCCAUCCCUCUUGCAGCAAUUCUUCUGCUUGCAUUACCUGCGGAUCCAUCUACGCUUGUCAUCCAUGGUUUCAUCUUGUUCAUCAUGGGAUUCUUAAUUUCAUGGAAUGCUCCAGCUACAAACAAUCCGAUUUUUGCAGAGAUAGUUCCUGAGAGAUCCCGAACAAAUAUAUGCUUUGGACAGAUCUUUCGAGUCCAUACUUUCAUCGUUCACUCCUCCAGUAGUUGGGAUAUUGGCUCAACGCGUUUAUGGUUAUAAACCAGUUCCUCAAGGGUCCAGUGCAUCUGAAGAGAUUGCCACGGAUAGGGGGAACGCUUUGUCAUUGGCAAAAGCACUAUAUACAGCAAUAGGAAUUCCAAUGGCUCUCUGUUGUGUCAUUUACUCAUUCCUAUAUUGCACCUACCCAAGAGACAGGGAGCGUGCACGGAUGGAAGUUUUAAUAGAAUCAGAGAUGCAACAAAUAGAAUUAGAAGAUUCGCCUACCGGAGGAGAAUAUUCACGUGCUCGGUUUCCUGAAUCAGAAGAGCUGUAUGUGAAUGAUAGAACUGUCAUUGAAGUAGAGUAUGAAGGUGAGGACACUCUUGAUGCUGACACCGAUGAUGAUGAACAGACACUGCUAUACCGCCAGUUAACGUUUGCCAAUUUGAGCCCGCUGUAAUCUUACCAGAAUUUCACUGAACAUUCCAGCUCUAUUCAAGCACAUCCAAAUACCAUACAUGUACGUAAGAAUUUUAUCCGUCCUGUUUUGACCUCCUGCCAGAAAACGAGCUAGAGAAAGGCAACUUCCAUACAAACCAACUGCUUGAGCUUGCCAACAGAAGAGUUCUCGCUUUCUUUGCUGGUUUUCUUGCCAUUGUAACCACAUGCUUUCUCGAGAGAAACAUUUGGAUAAAACGGUCGUACGACCGUCAAUUUUGCGUACGAGAUGUAACAAAUCGAUAAUGAGAUGAAACACAAUCAUUUAUAGUGAAUCAUAUUAUCCAAAUUUUGAUGAUA